AAUGAACGCUAGCGGCGGGCCUAAUACAUGCAAGUCGGACGGGAUUUGGGAGCUUGCUCCUAAUGAGAGUGGCGCACGGGUGCGUAACACGUAUGUAACCUACCUUAAUCAGGGGGAUAGCCUCUCGAAAGAGAGAUUAACACCGCAUAACAUAUUUUUAUGGCAUCGUAGAAAUAUCAAAUAUUUAUAGGAUUAAGAUGGGCAUGCGGAACAUUAGCUAGUUGGUAAGGUAACGGCUUACCAAGGCUACGAUGUUUAGGGGAUCUGAGAGGAUGACCCCCCACACUGGUACUGAGACACGGACCAGACUCCUACGGGAGGCAGCAGUAAGGAAUAUUGGUCAAUGGGCGCAAGCCUGAACCAGCCAUGCCGCGUGCAGGAAGACGGCCCUAUGGGUUGUAAACUGCUUUUGUACCGGAAUAAACCCUUUUACGUGUAGAAGGCUGAAUGUACGGUAAGAAUAAGGAUCGGCUAACUCCGUGCCAGCAGCCGCCGUAA
rnacentral:rRNA from 1 species